UAGACCACGCUGUUCACCUUCGCACGCUCCUGGCCCUGCGCGCCCUCGGGUGCGCGCGGCUGUUCGGCGGGCUGGUGCGGACCCGACCUGCGCAAGCGCUCGAUGGCAGCCCGUGCGAGGUCAUUGGCAUCGCGCUUGUCGUCAGGCGCGGCAUUGGCUUCGGCUGGCAGCGAUGCGGCCGAAGGCUUUGCAGCGGCCCUCUCG
rnacentral:misc_RNA from 1 species